rnacentral:rRNA from 1 species
GAUGAACGCUGGCGGCGUGCCUAAUACAUGCAAGUCGAUCGAGGGAGACACAGCUUGCUGAGUCGAACUAGAGGCGAACGGGUGAGUAAUACAUAAGCAACCUGCCCACGAAGACUGGGAUAAUCCCUGGAAACGGGGACUAAGACCGGAUAGGUAACGGGACCGCAUGGUCUUGUUAUUAAAGGACAAAAACACUGGUGGAUGGGCUUAUGGCGCAUUAGUUAGUUGGUGAGGUAACGGCCCACCAAGACGAUGAUGCGUAGCCGGCCUGAGAGGGUGAACGGCCACAUUGGGACUGAGACACGGCCCAGACUCC